AACGUCUCAGUUCGGAUUGUAGUCUGCAACUCGACUACAUGAAGCUGGAAUCGCUAGUAAUCGCAGGUCAGCAUACUGCGGUGAAUACGUUCCCGGGUCUUGUACACACCGCCCGUCACACCAUGGGAGCCGGAAAUGCCCGAAGCCAGUGACCCAACCUUAGGGAGGGAGCUGUCGAAGGUGGAGCCGGUAACUGGGGUGAAGUCGUAACAAGGUACC
rnacentral:rRNA from 1 species